rnacentral:rRNA from 1 species
AACGAACGCUGGCGGCAGGCCUAACACAUGCAAGUCGAGCGAGGACUUCGGUCCUAGCGGCGGACGGGUGAGUAACGCGUGGGAACGUGCCCUUUGCUUCGGAAUAGCCCUGGGAAACUGGGAGUAAUACCGGAUGAGCCCUUUGGGGGAAAGAUUUAUCGGCGAAGGAUCGGCCCGCGUUGGAUUAGGUAGUUGGUGGGGUAAUGGCCUACCAAGCCGACGAUCCAUAGCUGGUUUGAGAGGAUGAUCAGCCACACUGGGACUGAGACACGGCCCAGACACCAAUGGGAGGCAGGGGUGGGAAAUGUUGAACAAGGGGAGAACCCUAGGUUUACCGAUUCGGGGUGGAAGAAGAAGGCCGUAGGUUUUUAAACCCCUUACAGCGGGAAAGAUAAUGGAGGUGCCGGCAGAAAAAGCCCCGCCUACCGCCUU